rnacentral:rRNA from 1 species
GAUGAACGCUGGCGGCGUGCCUAAUACAUGCAAGUCGAGCGAACAGACGAGGAGCUUUCUCCUCUGACGUUAGCGGCGGACGGGUGAGUAACACGUGGAUAACCUACCUAUAAGACUGGGAUAACUUCGGGAAACCGGAGCUAAUACCGGAUAAUAUAUUGAACCGCAUGGUUCAAUAGUUAAAGACGGUUUUGCUGUCACUUAUAGAUGGAUCCGCGUCGCAUUAGCUAGUUGGUAAGGUAACGGCUUACCAAGGCAACGAUGCGUAGCCGACCUGAGAGGGUGAUCGGCCACACUGGAACUGAGACACGGUCCAGACUCCUACGGGAGGCAGCAGUAGGGAAUCUUCCGCAAUGGGCGAAAGCUUGACGGAGCAACGCCGCGUGAGUGAUGAAGGUCUUCGGAUCGUAAAACUCUGUUAUUAGGGAAGAACAAAUGUGUAAGUAACUAUGCACGUCUUGACGGUACCUAAUCAGAAAGCCACGGCUAACUACGUG